AGCUUCCCUUCGAGCGGUGUUGUCCGAUGGUAGUGGGUCUUGGAGUUUGGUGGUUGAACACCGUUGAAGUGUGAUGGUUGUGCUACGAUGUAGAUUAGAGUGGCCUGAAGCUGCUUCUCAAUUUGUUUGUUGUGAGGACAUAUGGUGGUUUGUUGGUCGUGCAUGGAGGAUCUGGUUUGAUGUGGGGCUUCCUAUGGAGUUCCCUAGGGGAGAUAUAUGGCUGUGGUGAUUUGAUUUUUUCAUCACACCUGAUUUUUACGUUAGUAUUUGUUCUGACAUAGAAGAAAUAAGGCACAAUAAGGUGGAGACAGAGGGGCUGACUUCAUCAAGCAUACGAGAUUUUUUUCAGAUGUACCUCAAGCAGUUUGGCUACUUUCCAUUAUUCCGAGCCUCUUGAUUAUUGCCUCUCACAGGCAUUACAUAGUCGACAUUGUUGUCACUUGGUAUACUAUAAAUUUGACAAUGUUCUUUCUUGACAAGAAAUUGCCAGGUUAACUUUAGCAUUAGCAUCUUCUUUUUAACUUAUUUACACAAUAGGUUCUGGUGGAAUUCAAACUUAUUCUCGUUAGUAGCAUCAAUCGUUAUUCUUUAUGCACAAUACGUCCACCAAGAUUAUCCAAAACUCGUAUCACUUGUCAACACUGGACCAAACUUUAAAAGCAUUUACUUUAACUUUCGCUGGGAAUGCCUAAUCUCCAUUUGUGUGACUCUGUUUUCUCCAUUUUAGAAUUGUUGGAUCGUUCAAAUAGCUCUGCAUCUCCACCUCUACUACCUUGAGAACCAAUGGAGAAUCUGGGGAUCAUGAACAAAAAAGAACUUACAGAUUCCUUAAUGGGAAAACUGCCUGACAAUACAUCUCCCUUAUACUUAAAAGAGCCUAUCGAUGGAUGAGCAGUGUUUUGUCUUCGAAGGGGUGAAGUUACCUUUUUAUCAUUUUGACUGAGUUAGCUAAAAUAUUUCAUCUUUAAGUUAUGUCGUUAUGAUCGAAGAGGGCUUUUACAUGGUAUUUUUCUUUUCCAAAUCUCUGUCGAAGAAUUCAUUCAAUACUUGAUUUGCCCUCUUGAUGUUUGUCAUCUUUUGCCUAGCGGGUACUGAUUUCAUAAUAACUGGUAUAAGAUUUUUUCUGAAGGAGCAAGAUACAACUUAUUUGAAAUUCAUUGAAUGAGCAAUUCAUAAAAAUUAAUGUUUCUGUGAGAUUCUUGGAAUUCAAUAGGUCCUUCCUGCAUCAAGUGCUAAUUCUGGGUCAUUAUAUUCAACAUUUACUUUGAUUCUUUUAGAUCGUUUGUGUAAGUCUCAUCACUUGGUUUCUAUAGUUGGUUUGCAUCCUUCUAUUGAGUAGAAUUGAAUUGUUGAGAGUCUUGGGGAAAGAAAAGAGAAUUUCCAAUCUUAGACUAGCUCCAAGUUCUAAAUUUAUAAUUUUAUCUCUUGGAAUUGAAAAACGAAUCAUUGUCAUAGUGUGUCUAAUAUGGAUAUUAAUGUUGUUUUGGCAAAUGUUACUGGAGUUCUAUGCGAGCUCCAGCUAAUUAUAAAGAUAGUGAAGGUGUCCACCACCUCAGAUGGAAAAGUAAUGGACCUGUUUUUCAUCUCAGAUACAAGGUAUAGGUGGAGGCAGAGGGGCUGACUUCAUCAGGCAUACGAGAUUGUUUUCAGAUGGCCUUAUUUAAAUAAGUUAUUGGUUCUAUUUAUCCCCAACUUUUUUUUACUACUGUAGGCUUGUACUGUAAAUUUUUGUGAGCUAACAGGUAACUCAAUGAGA